rnacentral:rRNA from 1 species
AUUGAACGCUGGCGGCAGGCCUAACACAUGCAAGUCGAGCGGAGCGGCGGUCGGGUGAGUAAUGCCUAGGAAUCCGCCUGGUAGUGGGGGAUAACGUCCGGAAACGGGCGCUAAUACCGCAUAUUCUCAGUUGAGUCUAGGUCGUAUUGGCUAGGUGGUGGGGUAAUGGCCUACUAAGGCGACGAUCCGUAACUGGUCUGAGAGGAUGAUCAGUCACACUGGAACUGGGACACGGUCCAGCCUCCUACGGGGGGCAGCAGUGGGGAAUAUUGGACAAUGGGGGAAAGCCUGAUCCAGCCAUGCCGCGUGUUUGAAGAAGGUCUUCGGAUUGUAAAGCACUUUAAGUUGGGAGGCGUUACCAACAGAAUAAGCACCGGCUAACUUCGUGCCAGCCGCCGCGGUAAUAC